UACAGAGGUCUCAAGCGUUGUUCGGAUUCAUUGGGCGUAAAGGGCGCGUAGGCUGCGGGGCAAGUCGGGUGUGAAAUCUCAGAGCUCAACUCUGAAACUGCACUCGAUACUGCCAUGCUUGAGGACUGGAGAGGAGACUGGAAUUUACGGUGUAGCGGUGAAAUGCGUAGAUAUCGUAAGGAAGACCAGUGGCGAAGGCGGGUCUCUGGACAGUUCCUGACGCUGAGGCACGAAGGUCAGGGGAGCAAACGGG
rnacentral:rRNA from 1 species